CCUACGGGUGGCAGCAGUAGGGAAUCUUUCACAAUGGGCGAAAGCCUGAUGGAGCAACGCCGCGUGCAUGAUGAAGGACUUCGGGUUGUAAACUGCUUUUAUAAGCGAGAAAUAUGAUGGUAACUUAUGAAUAAGGAUCGGCUAACUACGUGCCAGCAGCCGCGGUCAUACGUAGGAUCCGAGCAUUAUCCGGAGUGACUGGGUGUAAAGAGUUGCGUAGGUGGCAUAAUAAGUAGCUAGUGAAAUCUGGUGGCUCAACCAUUCAGACUAUUAGCUAAACUGUUAAGCUCGAGACCGUUAGGGGUAACUGGAAUUUCUAGUGUAGGAGUGAAAUCCGUAGAUAUUAGAAGGAACACCAAUAGCGUAGGCAGGUUGCUGGGACGGUUCUGACACUAAGGCACGAAAGCGUAGGGAGCAAACGGGAUUAGAUACCCCUGUAGUC
rnacentral:rRNA from 1 species